rnacentral:rRNA from 1 species
UACAGAGAGUGCGAACGUUGUUCGGAAUUACUGGGCUUAAAGCGCACGUAGGCGGCAUCGUAAGUGUCCGGUGAAAUCCCACGGCUCACCCGUGGAACUGCCUGGCAGACUGCGAUGCUCGAGUAUGGUAGGGGAGAGCGGAACUCCUGGUGGAGCGGUGAAAUGCGUAGAUAUCAGGAGGAACACCGGUGGCGAAGGCGGCUCUCUGGUCCAUGUCUGACGCUGAGGUGCGAAAGCUAGGGGAGCAAACGGGAUUAGAUACCCGUGUAGU